rnacentral:tRNA from 1 species
GAAAAUCUGUUCGAGCGUGGAAUCAGCUUCCCAAGCUGAAUACGCGGGUUCGAUUCCCGUCAUCGGCUCCA